CUGAUGUUAUCCUUCCCUGUUUAUGUUACGUUUGCCACUCGUAGCUUUCUUGUUUUCAACAAGAGGAUUUUCCACUAUCUGCUCCAAAUGCUGCAAGUUCUCCUCUAGCAGGGAGCAGAGCUUCCAGGCAUUAUGAUCUGUCCUGCCUGUCUGGAUGGAACUUCUGCUCCAUACUAUUGAAAUGAAGAGAAUCAGACUACCCACCUUGGAUUCUGAUAUGAAAGAUUUAGGAUAAAAGAGCUACUCCAUCAGCCUGGAAAGAUGACUCACUGGCAAACUCUUAGAUAAAGCUAAACUUCACACCAAACUGCAAGAGAGUCUAAGAAUGAAGAGAAAACUGCUUUGGCAAGCAACUACCUAGUCUCUGACACAGUCCACCUUUUUGGUCAGCCAAUAUCCAGCUCCGCCUUGUCUUCUUACACAAAGCCCAGGCAAAGCCCAGGAUUGCUAACUGUUGUACAAACCUGUUGGUCAGGCCUAGAUGGAAGCUUUCAACCCCAUUUCAAGUCAGCUGGCUUAUCCAACCCUGAAAGGUCUGUGAUCUCUCAGUUCUUUUUAUAAACAGGCCUCUGCUUGCAAAUGGCCAAUUCUUGCCUGAGCUCAUCUCUUUCUUGUAAUACUUUAUGAAAGGCAGCCAGUAGUAACUAAUGCAUAAAUUUUUCCAACCAACUGGCCCAAAGGUCAGUAGACCUUUUUACCAAAUGUUUCGCAAUGUAUAGCAUGAAUCUCCAUCUUUCUCCUCUCUGUUAUCAGGUUCCUCAGUGCCCAACCAUUAUGUCAAUGCCUUUUACCUUAAUUUUUUUCUUAUGGCAACAUUUUCUUCUGGAAUUAUUUCUGUACUGUAGCAAAUGCCCUAAACUGUGUAAAACAGUUUGAAGACACUAUUUUUUUUUCUAUUUUUAUCAUUUGUUCCUCGGUCUACUCAAUACGCUCCCUGCUUAAAACUCCCCUAGUGAUUUUCUGUUGGGUUUAAAAUAGAGUCUAAACUCUUUACCAUGGAUUACAAGCUUCUCUGUUAACUGGUUGUAACCUGCAUUUCCAGCCUCCUUUGGCGCCACUCUUGUCCCACCAACUAUAUCACAUUUCCUUUGGAACAUUUUCUGCUUCUUGAACUUGCCCAGGUCCUUGCUGUUAGCUGGUCCCUUUGCCUAUGAUGAUCUUCCUUCUUAGCAUCACUUGAACUGCAAAAAAUAAAAAAUGAAACAAAAAA
rnacentral:lncRNA from 1 species